AUGCGCUUAUGCGCUGAUGUGCGCGCCGUCCGCGCCCACCUGACAGCUGCUCGCUACGUUGUGUUAGGG
rnacentral:sRNA from 1 species